rnacentral:rRNA from 1 species
GACGACGCUGGCGGCGGGCCUAACACAUGCAAGUCGAGCGAGUGGCGGACGGGUGAGUAAUGUAUGGGGAUCUGCCCGAUAGAGGGGGAUAACUACUGGAAACGGUGGCUAAUACCGCAUACCAUCGGAUGAACCCAUAUGGGAUUAGCUAGUAGGUGGGGUAACGGCUCACCUAGGCGACGAUCCCUAGCUGGUCUGAGAGGAUGAUCAGCCACACUGGGACUGAGACACGGCCCAGACUCCUACGGGAGGCAGCAGUGGGGAAUAUUGCACAAUGGGCGCAAGCCUGAUGCAGCCAUGCCGCGUGUAUGAAGAAGGCCUUAGGGUUGUAAAGUACUUUCAGCGGGGAGGCGUUACCCGCAGAAGAAGCACCGGCUAACUCCGUGCCAGCAGCCGCGGUAAUUC